rnacentral:rRNA from 1 species
AGUUGGAUUUCUGUUGUAAAAUAUUACCAAGGUAAUUAUUAUAUUAUCAACAUCCUUCCUAUUAUAUUCAAAAUAUAUAGGAAAUUUUGCUUUGAGAAAAUUAGAGUGCUUAAAGCAGGCAACUGCCUUGAAUACUCCAGCAUGGAAAAAAAAGUAAGGACUUUUGUCUUUCUAAUUGGUUCUAGGACAAAAGUAAUGGUUAAUACGGACAGUUGGGGGCAUUCGUAUUUAUCAGCCAGAGGUGAAAUUCUUAGAUUUCUUAAAGACGAACUACUGCGAAAGCAUUUGCCAAGGAUGUUUUCAUUAAUCAAGAACG